rnacentral:rRNA from 1 species
UGGGGAAUUUUGGACAAUGGGCGAAAGCCUGAUCCAGCAAUGCCGCGUGUGUGAAGAAGGCCUUCGGGUUGUAAAGCACUUUUGUCCGGAAAGAAAUCCUUGGCUCUAAUACAGCCGGGGGAUGACGGUACCGGAAGAAUAAGCACCGGCUAACUACGUGCCAGCAGCCGCGGUAAUACGUAGGGUGCAAGCGUUAAUCGGAAUUACUGGGCGUAAAGCGUGCGCAGGCGGUUUGCUAAGACCGAUGUGAAAUCCCCGGGCUCAACCUGGGAACUGCAUUGGUGACUGGCAGGCUAGAGUAUGGCAGAGGGGGGUAGAAUUCCACGUGUAGCAGUGAAAUGCGUAGAGAUGUGGAGGAAUACCGAUGGCGAAGGCAGCCCCCUGGGCCAAUACUGACGCUCAUGCACGAAAGCGUGGAGAGCAAACAGGAUUAGAUACCCUGGUAGUCCACGCCCUAAAACGAUGUCAACUAGUUGUUGGGGAUUCAUUUCCUUAGUAACGUAGCUAACGCGUGAAGUUGACCGCCUGGGGAGUACGGUCGCAAGAUU